UACGAAGGGUACAAGCGUUGUUCGGAAUUACUGGGCGUAAAGCGCGCGUAGGCGGACGCGUAAGUCGAUUGUGAAAGCCCUGGGCUUAACCUGGGAACUGCAGUCGAAACUGCGUGUCUUGAGUGCCUGAGAGGAUGGCGGAAUUCCCGGUGUAGUAGUGAAAUACGUAGAUAUCGGGAAGAACACCUGAGGCGAAGGCGGCUAUCUGGCGGUGCACUGACGCUGAGGCGCGAAAGCUAGGGGAGCAAACAGG
rnacentral:rRNA from 1 species